CGUUAAGCCACUGGGUCUUCACAUGAGGAGACUGUGGCAGGACGCUGAGGGCCACUGCUGUGGCAACCGGCCACUCUGCCCCUGGGGACCACACCGUGUGCCUCGUUAGAUGGGGUGGGGUGGCCAGGGUGCUUUUGGUCUGACUCAGCGAGCAGCCUGUCAGGCGACCCCGCAGGGUGACAGGAAGUGCCCGUGUGCCAUGGUCACAGGAAAAGCCAGGCCUUACUUUCUUUCCCCUUCCCAUCUGCUAAUUUGAUUUGCCAUGUUAAAUUUGAUUUAUUAUUGACUAUCACCUUAAGCUGUUUUUAGGGCAUGGAAGGCUAUAAAUAUAUAUGCAGUUAGACCCAGAGGACUCAGCAAGCUGGUCCUUCUCCAACAGUAAGUGUGAUGGUCUUGACGUGUAUUUUUGGUUCUAAAUGACCCCAGCUGACCUCCUGCAGUGCUUGGAUUCAUCCAGUAACCAUCAAGUUUGCUUUCCACUCAGCCUCGCAUAGACACAUGAACUCUGCAUGGCUUUGCUCCACUUUCUGGGUGAGUUCCUGUAAAUCUACAAAAUGUUGAGCAGAGGACAACACCACACUUGCUUUUUUCAAACUCUAGAGAGAAAACAAUUGAAUCUAGUUAGGUUUUUCCUCUCCCUUAUUUUAUUAGCACCAUGCUCUAACCAACUGAGCUAACUGGCCACUUUCCCUUAUUUUAAAGCUGUCAUAGUUUCAGUGGGGCCUGAAGAUGCAGGUUUAGUCCAGACCUUGACCAGCACAGCCCAUGGACGAGAUUGCUCCCUAGCACUCCACUUAACAUCCACACGCUGGAGGGUUCUGCUUCAGAGUCCAGGCGUUUUGAAAAUUCCCCAGGAACAUGUAUGAAAUCUUUUUGGUUUGAAACCAAACUCAAAAUUUGUGUUAAGGACAACAUCCUUCUUUGAGGAAGGCAUUUCCUUUUGUUCUUUUAAAAAAAUAUUUAUUUUAUGUAUUUGGCUGCACCAGGUUAUAGUUGUGGUAUACCAACCACCAACUUAGUCGUGGCAUGUGGGUGGGAUCUAGUUCCCUGACCAGGGAUCGAACCCAGUCCCCCUGCAUUGGGAACACAGAUUCUUAGCUACUGGACCACAAAGGAAGUCGCUCCUUUUGUCCUGAUUCAAACUAUCGAUGGGGGUCUCUGAAGACUUUUAUCACGGAUGCUAGCAUGAGUUGAAGUUCAGAGUCACCUGGCCACAGCUUUCUCACAUUACUACAGCCUGAGGGGGCAGAGUGUAAUGGUCACAGGCUCAGCCAUGAGCUGGUGAGUCAGACUGAACGUUGUGACGUUGGGAUCUUUUAUGUCCGAUGUUUCCCUCAGGGAGUUUGGUUAGAUGGCAGAUGUGUGACUGUGUGGAACUGGUCUGACAGUGCUGGGCACUGUGAUGGCUACAGGGCCAUGAUUUUGAACAAAAUAACCAGCACACCCUGGUGGCCAGAGGGAGAAGGGAACCUGCAGACAAGGUGUUAAAAGAUCGAUCGUGGAUGCUCCUGAUACUGUGAGAACGGCGGCCUGGCUUGUGGGGGUCUCUUGCCAGUUAGGUGCGUGGAGGGAUCCAUCCUCAGCCUGAAAGAGGGCUCACUGGAUGGCCUCAGUCUGGCUUUUUCUCUCCAUCCACCCUCUCUUCCCUGAGUCGACCUGGCAGCCUUGGUAGCGCUCGCUGGUCCAGUCACUUCUGGCUUCCAACAUUCUCUCAAGGCUCUCAAAAAAAGAAAAAGGCCAAGAAGAUUUGCCGUCCUCAGGGUGGCGUUCGGCCUGUGAGGAGCUGUGGGGAGAGGAGAUGGACGCAGAGGAAGAAAGGCAGGAUCCCCGGGAUGUGGACUGUGUGCAUUUUGGAGAUGAGGAAAUUGCGGAUCAGAAUGUUUAUAAAAACUGUCAAAGAUCACAGUGCCAGGAAGUGGUGAAGUUGAGACUGGAACCAGAGCAAGUCUGAAUCUAGAGUCAGGAGUCACCCACUGCUAC